rnacentral:rRNA from 1 species
UACGAAGGGUGCAAGCGUUACUCGGAAUUACUGGGCGUAAAGCGUGCGUAGGUGGUGAGUUAAGUCUGUCGUGAAAGCCCCGGGCUCAACCUGGGAAUGGCGAUGGAUACUGGCUCGCUAGAGUGCGGUAGAGGAGAGUGGAAUUCCCGGUGUAGCAGUGAAAUGCGUAGAUAUCGUGAGGAAGACCAGUUGCGAAGGCGGAUCUCUGGGCAGUUCCUGACACUGAGGCACGAAGGCCAGGGGAGCAAACGGG